GAAAAAAAAAAAAAAAAAGAACAAGACAAAGACAAGAAGAAAGACAAAAUCGUUCGAGAAUAAGGCUUUAUCUUUUGCCCACUUCGCCCUCUCCCCCAAUUUUUUUUCUCUUCGCUCAUGGCGGACCCUCAAAGUUCUGACAUUUUGAUGGAAGAAGACAAGCAGCCAGAAGAAGGGUUCGAAGAAAACCCGUUGAAAGAAGAAAGGAA
rnacentral:ribozyme from 1 species